UACAGAGGGUGCAAGCGUUGUUCGGAAUCAUUGGGCGUAAAGAGCUCGUAGGCGGCUUGUUGCGUCGACUGUGAAAACUCACGGCUUAACCGUGGAACUGCAGUCGAUACGGGCAGGCUAGAGUUCGGUAGGGGAGACUGGAAUUCCUGGUGUAGCGGUGAAAUGCGCAGAUAUCAGGAGGAACACCGGUGGCGAAGGCGGGUCUCUGGGCCGAUACUGACGCUGAGGAGCGAAAGCGUGGGGAGCGAACAGG
rnacentral:rRNA from 1 species